UGGGGAAUAUUGCACAAUGGGGGAAACCCUGAUGCAGCGACGCCGCGUGAACGAAGAAGGUAUUCGUAUCGUAAAGUUCUGUCCUAUGGGAAGAUAAUGACAGUACCAUAGAAGAAAGCUCCGGCUAAAUACGUGCCAGCAGCCGCGGUAAUACGUAUGGAGCGAGCGUUGUCCGGAAUUAUUGGGCGUAAAGGGUACGCAGGCGGUUUAAUAAGUCGAAUGUUAAAGAUCGGGGCUCAACCCCGCAAAGCAUUGGAAACUGAUAAACUUGAGUAGUGGAGAGGAAAGUGGAAUUCCUAGUGUAGUAGAGAAAUACAGAGAUAUUAGAAGGAAUACCAGUAGCGAAGGCGACUUUCUGGACACAAACUGACGCUGAGGUACGAAAGCGUGGGGAGCAAACAGG
rnacentral:rRNA from 1 species